GGCGGCGUGCCUAAUACAUGCAAGUCGAACGGUCUUUCUAUGGAAGCUUGCUUCACUGAGAAGAUAGUGGCGAACGGGUGAGGUAACACGUGGGUAACCUGCCCAUAAGAGGGGGAGUAACAUCCGGAAACGGGUGCUAAUACCGCAUAGUUUUCUUGAUCGCAUGAUUGAGAAAGGAAAGACGGCCUUUGUGCUGUCGCUUAUGGAUGGACCCGCGGCGUAUUAGUUAGUUGGUGAGGUAACGGCUCACCAAGACGAUGAUACGUAGCCGACCUGAGAGGGUGAUCGGCCACAUUGGGACUGAGACACGGCCCAAACUCCUACGGGAGGCAGCAGUAGGGAAUCUUCCGCAAUGGACGAAAGUCUGACGGAGCAACGCCGCGUGAGUGAAGAAAGGUUUUCGGAUCGUAAAACUCUGUUGUCAGAGAAGAACAAGUUGGAGAGUAACUGCUCCAGCCUUGACGGUAUCUGACCAGAAAGCCACGGCUAACUACGUGCCAGCAGCGGC
rnacentral:rRNA from 1 species